rnacentral:rRNA from 1 species
AUGCUUAACACAUGCAAGUCGAACGAUGAGAAAGAGCUUGCUCUUUCGAUUAGUGGCGGACGGGUGCGUAACGCGUAGGAAUCUGCCUAUUAGUGGGGGACAACUUAGGGAAACUUAAGCUAAUACCGCAUACGCCCUACGGGGGAAAGGAGGGGAUCGCAAGACCUUUCGCUAAUAGAUGAGCCUGCGUAGGAUUAGCUAGUUGGUGAGGUAAAGGCUCACCAAGGCGACGAUCCUUAACUGGUUUGAGAGAAUGAUCAGUCACACUGGAACUGAGACACGGUCCAGACUCCUACGGGAGGCAGCAGUGGGGAAUAUUGGACAAUGGGCGAAAGCCUGAUCCAGCAAUACCGCGUGUGUGAAGAAGGCCUUAGGGUUGUAAAGCACUUUCAAUUGGAAGGAAAAAUUCGUGGCUAAUAUCUACGAACUUGACAUUACCUUUAGAAGAAGCACCGGCUAACUCCGUGCCAGCAGCCGCGGUAAUACGGAGGGUGCAAGCGUUAAUCGGAAUUACUGGGCGUAAAGCGUGCGUAGGCGGCUCGUUAAGUCAGAUGUGAAAGCCCUGGGCUCAACCUGGGAACUGCAUUUGAAACUGGCGAGCUAGAGUUUGAGAGAGGUAAGUGGAAUUUCAGGUGUAGCGGUGAAAUGCGUAGAGAUCGGAAGGAACACCAGUGG